CUGAUGCAGCGACGCCGCGUGAGGGAUGACGGCCUUCGGGUUGUAAACCUCUUUCAGUAGGGAAGAAGCGAGAGUGACGGUACCUGCAGAAGAAGCGCCGGCUAACUACGUGCCAGCAGCCGCGGUAAUACGUAGGGCGCAAGCGUUGUCCGGAAUUAUUGGGCGUAAAGAGCUCGUAGGCGGUUUGUCGCGUCUGCUGUGAAAGCCCGGGGCUCAACCCCGGGUCUGCAGUGGGUACGGGCAGACUAGAGUGCAGUAGGGGAGACUGGAAUUCCUGGUGUAGCGGUGAAAUGCGCAGAUAUCAGGAGGAACACCGAUGGCGAAGGCAGGUCUCUGGGCUGUUACUGACGCUGAGGAGCGAAAGCAUGGGGAGCGAACAGGAUUAGAUACCCUGGUAGUCCAUGCCGUAAACGUUGGGCACUAGGUGUGGGGGACAUUCCACGUUUUCCGCGCCGUAGCUAACGCAUUAAGUGCCCCGCCUGGGGAGUACGGCCGCAAGGCUAAAACUCAAAG
rnacentral:rRNA from 1 species